AGCUAGUGCACUUGAAAGGAUGAAUCAAAACACAGCUGCUGCACUCAUCCAUGAACUGUUUCCUAAAUUUGAUGAUACAUACACUACUAUUAGUUCACCAGUACCUCCAUCAGUUGCUAAUAAUAAUAUUCCACCAAUACCAUCAGGCAUUUGUAUUCAUAAAAAUAAUACCCAAUCACUGGCU